AACAUGUUCAACUAUCUCGGUUGUGGCUUUAGAAUUGUUCAUUUUACUAAUUGACAUAUAAACCCUAAACCCCGGCCUGUUUGGUUGGGGUUCCGGGAAGUCUUGCGAUGUUGCGCCUCUGGGUUUAAAACUCUGUGUUUUUUUAUUUACCUUUAUUUAACUCGGCAAGUCAGAACAAAUUCUUCUUUUCAAUGACGGCCUAUGAACAGUGCCUGUUCAGGGGCAGAACGACAGAUUUGUACCUUGUCGGGAUUUGAACUUUACUAGUCCAACGCUCUAUCAUCUAGGCCACCUGCCGCACCGCGUUUAUUAUGGUGGCUGUUCGAUAUAAUGACGACCAGCUGCCAUUGCUGACAAUACUGACACUUGGGAGAUGGAGGUCUUGUUUGCAGUACUGGACUAAUUUACCCAAGAAAUCCCCUCUGUCCUGUAAGAAAGGCUCUCCACCAGAGAAGUUAAUCUUUUCCAGUCCUGCCAAAAAAAAAUAUGACAUUCAGAAUUCUAAACACUGAAUAAAAAAGUAUUAGUUAGAAAUAUGAUGUAAUAAUAAUGUAAUAACAUGUCAUGUGAAUGUAUAUAGGGAUUUUGCGAUAUCAUAAAUAAAUUGGCUAAAUUUA